rnacentral:rRNA from 1 species
AGAGUUUGAUCAUGGCUCAGAACGAACGCUGGCGGCAGGCCUCAAACAUGCAAGUCUAGGGGACGUAGCAAUACGUCACCGGCGGACGGGUGCGUAACACGUGGGAAUGUACUGAGUGGUUCGGAACAACUGCGGGAAACUGCAGCUAAUACCGAAUGAGCCCGAAAGGGGAAAGAUUUAUCGCCAUUCAAUCAGCCCGCGUCUGAUUAGCUAGUUGGUGAGGUAACGGCUCACCAAGGCGACGAUCAGUAGCUGGUCUGAGAGGAUGAUCAGCCACAUUGGGACUGAGACACGGCCCAAACUCCUACGGGAGGCAGCAGUGGGGAAUAUUGGACAAUGGGCGCAAGCCUGAUCCAGCCAUGCCGCGUGAGUGAUGAAGGCCCUAGGGUUGUAAAGCUCUUUUGUGCGGGAAGAUAAUGACGGUACCGCAAGAAUAAGCCCCGGCUAACUUCGUGCCAGCAGCCGCGGUAAUACGAAGGGGGCUAGCGUUGCUCGGAAUCACUGGGCGUAAAGGGUGCGUAGGCGGGUCUUUAAGUCAGGGGUGAAAUCCUGGAGCUCAACUCCAGAACUGCCUUUGAUACUGAAGAUCUUGAGUUCGGGAGAGGUGAGUGGAACUGCGAGUGUAGAGGUGAAAUUCGUAGAUAUUCGCAAGAACACCAGUGGCGAAGGCGGCUCACUGGCCCGAUACUGACGCUGAGGCACGAAAGCGUGGGGAGCAAACAGGAUUAGAUACCCNNGUAGUCC